AGGGAAACUAACAGGCACCUUCAAUGCUGGCCAGCACAGGUGGAGCAAGCUGAUGCUGUAAGGAUGGUGAAAAGAGAGGAAGGAUUGGGCAAUGAAAGGUUUUCAACCAGUGUGAUGUCCUUGGAAAUAAACUGACAGAAGCAGACCAAAUCAUCAUGGCCUCCAUUGCCACCAUGUAGGGGGUGACCCAAAACAUUUGGAUGCCUGAAAUGAAACAUACAAACAGCAGGAUUCCCCUCUCAAAUGAACCACUAAGAAGGUACCUUGCUCAAGCCCUACUGAAGCUGCUCCUUCGAGCUCCUGCCCCACCCCCACCCCCCGCAACGGAAAUGAUCCCUAUAUCUUGCACAACACCCAUUCACCUCAAUGGGACUUGGCAAAGGAGACCCUUCCAGCAGCUUAUUUUAUUUAUUUACUUAUUUAUUCAAUUUCUCUACCGACCUUCCAUAAAUGGCUCAGUGCAGUUUAUACAGAGAAAUAAUAAAUAAAUAA